rnacentral:rRNA from 1 species
CCGCAUGGUCCGAGCUUGAAAGAUGGCUUCGGCUAUCACUUUUGGAUGGUCCCGCGGCGUAUUAGCUAGAUGGUGGGGUAACGGCUCACCAUGGCAAUGAUACGUAGCCGACCUGAGAGGGUAAUCGGCCACAUUGGGACUGAGACACGGCCCAAACUCCUACGGGAGGCAGCAGUAGGGAAUCUUCCACAAUGGACGAAAGUCUGAUGGAGCAACGCCGCGUGAGUGAAGAAGGGUUUCGGCUCGUAAAACUCUGUUGUUAAAGAAGAACAUAUCUGAGAGUAACUGUUCAGGUAUUGACGGUAUUUAACCAGAAAGCCACGGCUAACUACGUGCCAGCAGCCGCGGUAAUACGUAGGUGGCAAGCGUUGUCCGGAUUUAUUGGGCGUAAAGCGAGCGCAGGCGGUUUUUUAAGUCUGAUGUGAAAGCCUUCGGCUCAACCGAAGAAGUGCAUCGGAAACUGGGAAACUUGAGUGCAGAAGAGGACAGUGGAACUCCAUGUGUAGCGGUGAAAUGCGUAGAUAUAUGGAAGAACACCAGUGGCGAAGGCGGCUGUCUGGUCUGUAACUGACGCUGAGGCUCGAAAGUAUGGGUAGCAAACAGGAUUAGAUACCCUGGUAGUCCAUACCGUAAACGAUGAAUGCUAAGUGUUGGAGGGUUUCCGCCCUUCAGUGCUGCAGCUAACGCAUUAAGCAUUCCGCCUGGGGAGUACGGCCGCAAGGCUGAAACUCAAAGGAAUUGACGGGGGCCCGCACAAGCGGUGGAGCAUGUGGUUUAAUUCGAAGCUACGCGAAGAACCUUACCAGGUCUUGACAUACUAUGCAAAUCUAAGAGAUUAGACGUUCCCUUCGGGGACAUGGAUACAGGUGGUGCAUGGUUGUCGUCAGCUCGUGUCGUGAGAUGUUGGGUUAAGUCCCGCAACGAGCGCAACCCUUAUUAUCAGUUGCCAGCAUUAAGUUGGGCACUCUGGUGAGACUGCCGGUGACAAACCGGAGGAAGGUGGGGAUGACGUCAAAUCAUCAUGCCCCUUAUGACCUGGGCUACACACGUGCUACAAUGGAUGGUACAACGAGUUGCGAACUCGCGAGAGUAAGCUAAUCUCUUAAAGCCAUUCUCAGUUCGGAUUGUAGGCUGCAACUCGCCUACAUGAAGUCGGAAUCGCUAGUAAUCGCGGAUCAGCAUGCCGCGGUGAAUACGUUCCCGGGCCUUGUACACACCGCCCGUCACACCAUGAGAGUUUGUAACACCCAAAGUCGGUGAGGUAACCUUUUAGGAACCAGCCGCCUAAGGUGGGACA